CUAGAGCCACUCCCUCACAAAUGUGAGGGAAGUGGUUUGAGCCUCCGCAGACGCAUUGCAGAGGUUUAAUUUAAAUGUCCUUCCUUGGAGCCCCAGCGCUUGAGUGAAGGCAGUCUUUCUUCCAGGCUGGGAGUUUGACGUCCCUCGAAUAUUUGAGAGGGUUACAAAUCUGAGCGGUGCCAUAUCAGCAUUAAUGUCAACACGUCUCAGUAUAUAUAUAUAUGAUUGUACAUAUCAGUUAUACUCUCAUGUAAUAUGAGUUGUAAUUUGAGCAAUAGUCUCAUGUCAUCAAAAAA
rnacentral:lncRNA from 1 species